UUGGAGGUUGCUCUGAACUCUGUUAGCUCUUCUCUCACUAUCUUUUUCCUCAGGGUAAUAGGAAUAGAAUCCAUAUUUGUUUCACUGAAACUCUAGUAUUUAUAGCCUAAUAUUGGUAGCUUAGUGGGCUUUUGAGAGAGGUCCAAGUCUGAGACUUUUCUUUUAUUUAUUUAUUUAUUUAUUUAGUUUUUUUUUGUUUUUUUGUUUUUGUUUUUUUU
rnacentral:lncRNA from 1 species